GUGCUUGCUGUGGUCAUUUUCUGAGCAGACUAUUUGCAUAUAAAGAAACUGAGGCACAGAGAGGCCGGGACACUUGGAAAGGUCACACAGUAAAUAAGUGGAGGAGGUGGAUUCCACACUAGCUGUAUGACUGCAGAGCCACAACUCUUAAGAGUUUUGCUAAAACAGGAAGGGGGAGAGCAGCUCCCUCCCAAAAAAGACAAGACCUCUGCCAGCAUCCACAGCACAUUCUCCUGCUCCAGGUUUGGGGUCGGCCUGAGAAUCUGCAUUUCUGUAAGCUCCCACGCGCUGCUGCUGCUGCUGGUCCUUGGGCCACACUUUGAGGAGCAGCAUCCUGCAGGAGGGAAGCAGAGGCCCUGGCCCUUCAUCACUGUGAUGAUAUCUGCUCCACUGAGGGAUGCCUCCUCCAACCAAGAUGGCAGCCUCAUCUCCAUGGCAACCCCUAGAAACUUUGCCUUGGUGACCAAGUUGCAAAUUAAUGACCUCAAGCUCUCUAGGAGCAAGAUGGAGCAGCUGGCCCUGACAUCCACUGGGUCAGCCAAACUCAUUUUUCUGGAUCGUGCAUCCCAAAAGCUCAUUGUACCAAAGGACCAUUGUAGAAAUAAAUAGAUCUGUUCCUCCCAAAAGACCCUUCAUAUGUUUACAGAUUUAAAAGCAUAUCAUUUGUGGUAAAUUUUAAGGACAUAAAAACUGUCAUGAUAUUGAUGAGAAGAUAUUUCAUUGCAGUGGAUGGAAAAUACACAAAACCAUGGCAGUUUACCUGGAAGUUUCAGAUGGUAGAGGUUCUUUCCAGAGUGGCUACCAAGCACGGAGGGCAGGUGCUGGCCAGGAUUAUCUCAUUUCAUUCUUAUGGCAACUCCCUGGUGAAGUUGCUCCUGCCACCCUGGUUUUCAGAGAAAGAAGAGGCAGCUGGUAAAAGGCAGAGAGGAUCUGAAUGCAGGACUCUGCCCCCAAAGCGUGUACGCCUUCAUCCAUACCUCCCUGCCUCUGUUUUUGCCGUUUGACCUACAUCAAGAAUAAGCCCUGCGGGCAGAAAUUUCAGGUCACUAAGAAAGUGUAUGCCUUCCAUACAGAGCAGAAGCUGACCAAAGAGUCACUCUGCUGCUCUUUUACUUCCCGUUUAAAAUCAAAUAUUACACAACACUCAGAUAUUAUCACUUUGUGCCUGCAUGGUUUUAGAAACCCUUCUACCUGCAUGAUGGUUCCAGGCAGAUCUAGAUACCCCUCUUUUUUAAUUUUUUUUAUUUUUUGAGAUUACACACAGAAAGGGGGUAGAAGAUUGUAUUUUCUAAAGUUGCCCACAACAGUAUCUGCCAUCCAUGUGCUCUUCUUCCAAUGUGACCUUGAUACCCCUUCCUUGAUGAGUGGGGUCUGGGUCUCUCCCACAUCCAAAUUUGAAAAGACCUUUGUGAUUUCCUUGGCCAAAAGAGAACAGCAGAACUGUUGCUGUAGGACAUCUAAGGCCAGAUGAUAAGGAUGUCAUGCGCUUCUGCAUGGCUCUCAUGGCACUCUCGCUCUUGGGAUCAGGUGCCAUGUUGUGAGGAAGCCCACAUCACCAUGUGCAGAAACCACAUGGAGAGGCCAGUGAAGGCAUUCCAGCUGGAAGCCCAGCCAGGGUCCCAGCUGGCAACCACAUCAUCUGCCAGGCAUGAACCAAGAUGCCUCCAGAUCCUUUUAGCCCCCACAUGUCAGGCCACUUUGCAUCUUCCCAGCAGAGGUCCCCAAAAUGAUGGAGUGGCAACAACUCUCCCUGAUUUGCCCUGUCUACAUUCUGUACCGCAGGACCUGUGAGCAUCAUAAAGUAGAUCUUUACAUCACAGGGUUUUGGAGUUGUUUUUUAUGCACCAUGGUAACUGGAACUGAAGGUAUUUACUCACACUCAGGUGUCUAAGGAGGAAAAUCUCAUGGCCUUUAUUGUACCUUCUCUCGAGCAGCUGUGAUGUGCAGGGGCUAUGCUAAACAUGAUUGUAUUAUUUUAAUAUCCUAUCUUUGGAUUCAUAGUAGUAUGUGUCUUAAAGGCAAAAGGGGCGGGUGUUGGAGGGGAAUGGGUGACGGGCACUGAGGCAGACACUUGACGGGAUGAGCACUGGGUGUUUUUCUGUAUGUUGGUAAAUUGAACACCAAUAAAAAUUAAUUUAAAAAAAGGCA
ensembl:lncRNA